GGUCAGGUGCUUUUGUAACUGUUCCGGUAAAUAUUAUAACAUCGGAAGAAGGAAGACAGAGGACAGAGUUCCUGAUCCAAACGAUCCAGACGAAGACGGGAGAAACGCAAUGGUGUGAUUACUGAUUAAAGCGAGCAUCUACGUGGUGAGGAAGAUCCGCGCUUCCAUUGCCGAGGGAGAGCAACUGGAAAAGCCGAUCAUCACACCAUGUAGUGCUUUAGCUGAAAGCAGAGCGGGGAAUGAAUCGAGGGGGAUCGCUACAGCCGCUGCGCUGAGCCCGGGACCUGAUGAAGGUGUCGGCGGAGCAGCAGGCUCGGCGCCGUCCUCAGAGACAGCCCUGCAGAAAUGUGGCUCCUGACGCUAAACUUUCGGCCGGACGCUGGACGGUGCUGGACUCCAUGGAAAUCCUUCAAUAAAUUACUGUAAAAACUGAUUGUUUUUUUACCAUCAACAUGAAAUGGACAAAGCAAGUGUAGCCAUUCAGCUCUGGAUUAUCUAAACAAUAUUCCUGCAUUGCCAGUGAUCGAUGUUCAGCUCAGGAUCACACGUGUUGGCCUUUCUCACAGCACAUAUUUUGACUCACCACAGGCAUAUGUAAUAAGAAUCAUAAUUACACAGCUCCUUUUUGUUUCCUGCUUCGGGAAUCACACAGACAGUGCAGAUAAUUUGUGCCAUAAAGUCUGUGUGUCUGGUUUGUCAACAUGUUUACUGUGGGAACGGCCACAGUGUUUGUACUGCAGUGUUUGAAGGCCUUCUCACCAACCUCUCUCCAGGGGCUGAGUGGGCCUGAUGUUUCUGCUGUUACCAAUAAAAUAACAUUUUAAAAACAUA